AGCUUUGUGCAGUGGCAGUAUCGUAGCCAAGGAGGUUUAUCCAUGGCGUGAUUAUUGCUAAUUGAAAACUUUUCCCAGUACUCCACCGUGACCACUUGAAAUAUAGUUGGCAUUGGCAAUUUUUGACAGUCUCUACAGAGA
ensembl:snRNA U4 U4 spliceosomal RNA